UACGUAGGGUGCAAGCGUUAAUCGGAAUUACUGGGCGUAAAGCGUGCGCAGGCGGUGAUGUAAGACAGUUGUGAAAUCCCCGGGCUCAACCUGGGAACUGCAUCUGUGACUGCAUCGCUGGAGUACGGUAGAGGGGGAUGGAAUUCCGCGUGUAGCAGUGAAAUGCGUAGAUAUGCGGAGGAACACCGAUGGCGAAGGCAAUCCCCUGGACCUGUACUGACACUCAUGCACGAAAGCGUGGGGAGCAAACAGG
rnacentral:rRNA from 1 species